CUCUUUGUAAGCCUGACUGUCCUAGUAGAACUCACUCUGUAGACCAGGCUGGCCUCAAACUCACAGAGAUCUGCCUGCCACUGCCUCCCAACUGCUGGGAUCAAAGGCAUGCAUCACUACCUCCGGCUCUGAUGUUAGUUUUUACAUGUAGAGGUUUAAUGUUAAAUUAUUUUUGUGCUUUAUGGAUAGUUUUAUAAGAUGAUUCUCUGGCGUUACUCCUUGGAACUGUGAACUAGCACUGCUGAGUGUAAACCGAGGCAUACAGCUUCCUCUUGAAGGCGGUGUUGAGGGUUGUCCUGACUUAGCUUUUGUCUGGGACGGUAGAGCUUGUUGGGCUGUUUGCUGUGCAGUCCAGUUUGCUAGUCAUGUUUUAAGGUCUGUGCCGUACAUUCUGAUUGUCAGUGGGGAUGCCAGUUUGAUGCAUGCUGACCUCUACCAACAGGGGUCUUCUGAAGCCCUUGGGAGCUCCAGACCUCGAUGUGAACCCAAGUACACCAUUUACCCUUGGUAGUAAAGGGCCGGGGACCAGAGUUAAGAAUGUGGCUUGUGUACUGGGGGUCUCUACUUCUGAAGUUCCCAGCAUCUACUCUGGAUAGCCAACUGAAUGUAGUCUUUGCUCUAUAAGACAAAGUGCUCUUUUCCCUUCACCUCCUCUCCCAGGUUUAUGCUGCAGGCAGCCUCCGUCAAAGAGCCUUCUCUUUCCUUUAAUGUAGUGAUUCAUAACUGGCUAAAGGGCUGGUGAUACAAGCAACCAGAAGAGAUAAAUUGGAGCCUGAGACCCUGACUUGACUGGCCUA
rnacentral:lncRNA from 1 species